AUUGAACGCUGGCGGCAGGCCUAACACAUGCAAGUCGAGCGGUAGCACAGAGAGCUUGCUCUCGGGUGACGAGCGGCGGACGGGUGAGUAAUGUCUGGGAAACUGCCUGAUGGAGGGGGAUAACUACUGGAAACGGUAGCUAAUACCGCAUAACGUCGCAAGACAAAAGUGGGGGACCUUCGGGCCUCAUGCCAUCAGAUGUGCCCAGAUGGGAUUAGCUGGUAGGUGGGGUAACGGCUCACCUAGGCGACGAUCCCUAGCUGGUCUGAGAGGAUGACCAGCCACACUGGAACUGAGACACGGUCCAGACUCCUACGGGAGGCAGCAGUGGGGAAUAUUGCACAAUGGGCGCAAGCCUGAUGCAGCCAUGCCGCGUGUGUGAAGAAGGCCUUCGGGUUGUAAAGCACUUUCAGCGGGGAGGAAGGCGGUGAGGUUAAUAACCUCACUGAUUGACGUUACCCGCAGAAGAAGCACCGGCUAACUCCGUGCCAGCCGCCGCCGUAAGAC
rnacentral:rRNA from 1 species